CCUACGGGUGGCAGCAGUGGGGAAUAUUGCACAAUGGGGGAAACCCUGAUGCAGCGACGCCGCGUGAGUGAAGAAGUACUUCGGUAUGUAAAGCUCUAUCAGCAGGGAAGAAAAUGACGGUACCUGAGUAAGAAGCCCCGGCUAACUACGGGCCAGCAGCCGCGGUAAUACGUAGGGGGCAAGCGUUAUCCGGAUUUACUGGGUGUAAAGGGAGCGUAGACGGCAGUGCAAGUCUGGAGGGAAAGGCGGGGGCUCAACCCCCGGACUGCACUGGAAACUGUAAGGCUGGAGUGCAGGAGAGGUAAGUGGAAUUCCUGGUGUAGCGGUGAAAUGCGUAGAGAUUAGGAGGAACACCAGUGGCGAAGGCGGCUUACUGGACUGUAACUGACGUUGAGGCGCGAAAGCGUGGGGAGCAAACAGGAUUAGAUACCCUGGUAGUC
rnacentral:rRNA from 1 species